GCCAUUUUGGGGUCACGAAGUAUGUGUGAGUGUGUGUUGUACGAAAAGAGUGAGUGAAUAGUAGUAUAAUGCCAGGCUGUUGUGCGGAAAAUUGUCGCAAUCGUGCUGAACAAGGAUUUUGUCUUUUUAGAUUUCCUGCUGACGAAAAACGCAAACAAAUUUGGAUUCAACAUUUCAUUUUGAUGAUUCUUAAUUUGAAAAUAAACGACAGGAUGGAUGACGUAAGUUAAAACCUAAUGCCAUUUUUACAAUUUUUACAAAUAAAAGCAUUAAUGACGUUUUACAAGAUGAAACUGAAUCUUCUAUAAGUGUUUUGCCUGAAGAAAAUGUAAUUGAUCAAAUAAAUAUUCAGCAUAAUAAUCAAUCUGUGCAUGUAGAUGCUAAAACUCAAACUGAAGUAUAUAACAAUGCUGCAUUUAAUACUAUACAAUUUUUUGAUGAAGAAUCUUUGAUGGAACAAUCAAACAAGCAAAUGAAAUUAAAUAUUUAAAAAAGAUAUUAGCUGAAACAAUAAAAAAAAAAUGAACUUGCAUUAAAAUUUAAAAAAGAAUAACUGUUAAGAUUAAACCACAACAAAGUACACAAAAAUUAUAAAAACAAAUAUGUAGUAUUGUUAAAAAGAGUAAAAAAAUAUCAUUUCUGAAAGACUUUGAAUUACGGUUAACUAAUCGAUGAUCAAAUUGGUCUCCAUAAUGCUUGAAAUUGGCUAUGCAAAUAAGAUAUGCUGUUGGAUGGAAAGCAUAUUCAUUUUUAAAGAAGAAUUUGGAAUUACCGUUGCCAUUCUAUUCCACUUUAUGUAGACAUAUUGCUCAACUAGAUUUUAGUCCUGGCGUACUAAAAGAUGUGAUUUCUUUAAUGAAAAAAAAAAGAAACUCACGCAUCUUCACAUCAAUCAGACUGUGUACUUUUAAUGGACGAAAUGGAUAUUUCAAAAGCAUUGGAAUAUGAUGUCAGCACAGGAUCUUUUUUUGGUCAAACAACAUAUAAAGAAGAUACACAGACGUUAAGUUCAAAUGUGAUUGUUUUUAUGCUAAGAGGAUUAAAUGACAAUUGGAAACAAGUUAUUGCGUGACAUCUUACAACGAAAACCUCAGAUGAAAAAGUCAUGUGUGAUGUCAUUUUAGAAAUAAUUAGCUAGAGAUAGAAAAAGUAGGUUACAAAGUACAUGAUCUUGUCUCAGAUAUAGGACCAAAAAACUAAGCUAUAUGGCGAAGAUUAGGUAUGAAAGUGGGCAAACAUAACUAUACAUCUUUCAUACCUCAUCCUAUACGAUCGCAUGAAUUUUUCUACAUAUUUCCCGAUGUUCCUCAUUUAUUGAAAAAUUUACGGUCAGCUUUAAUAAAUAAUCUUAUUAUAAAAGUAGAUUUAAUGAUUGUGCAAUCUAAAGGAUUACCUUGUAAUGAAAUUCGGUUUCGAUAUCUUGAGCAAUUAGAAGAAAUCCAAAGACGUUAUGAAUUAAAACUUGUGCCAAAAAUCACUGUAGAUAGCUUGAAACCGUCGAAUUUUAAUAAAAUGAAUGUUGCAGCCGCAGCUCAUAUAUUUAGUGAAAGAACAGCAGCUGCUUUAGAAACUUUAGUGCAAUUACAAAUUAUGGAACGAGAUGCGUUAACUACAGCUUGGUUUUUGAGAACAGUCAGAUCCUUGACUGUUCUCAAGGUUUGAUGUUAUGAAUGGUAGAUGUCAAAAGAAUGCAAUUACGCUAGGAAAUAAACAGAAAAAAGUCAAUUAUUGAUAAUUUCUUAUAUUUAAUUGAGCAUAUUGUUAU